rnacentral:rRNA from 1 species
UACGGGGGGGGCAAGCGUUGUUCGGAAUUACUGGGCGUAAAGGGCUCGUAGGUGGCCAACUAAGUCAGACGUGAAAUCCCUCGGCUUAACCGGGGAACUGCGUUUGUAACUGGCAAGCUAGAGUGUGGCAGAGGGGGGUGGAAUUCCAAGUGUAGCAGUGAAAUGCGUAGAUAUUUGGAGGAACACCAAUGGCGAAGGCAGCCCCCUGGGUUAACACUGACGCUCAUGCACGAAAGCGUGGGGAGCAAACAGG